GAGUUUGAUCUUGGCUCAGGACGAACGCUGGCGGCGCGCUUAAUACAUGCAAGUCGAGCGAGAACCAGCCCUUCGGGGCUGGGGAAAGCGGCGAACGGGUGAGGUAACACGUGGGUAAUCUGCCCUCGGCACCGGAAUAGCCCGGGAACCCGGAUUAAUGCCGGAUGGCCUCUCGAGUCUUCGGAUUCGUGAGAAAAGGUAGCUUCGGCCUCUGGCCGAGGAGGAGCCCGCGGCGGAUUAGCUUGUUGGUGGGGUAAUGGCCCACCAAGGCGACGAUCCGUAGCUGGUCUGAGAGGACGAUCAGCCACACUGGGACUGAGACACGGCCCAGACUCCUACGGGAGGCAGCAGUAGGGAAUCUUGCGCAAUGGGCGAAAGCCUGACGCAGCGACGCCGCGUGCGGGAAGAAGGCCUUCGGGUUGUAAACCGC
rnacentral:rRNA from 1 species